CACAGAAUCCAAAGCGGGUUCCAGGCUCUGACCUGUCAGCACAGAGCCCGAUGAGGGGUUCGAACUCACAGACCGUGAGAUCAUGACCUGAGCCGAAAUCAGAUGCUUAACCAACUGAGCCACCCAGGUGCCCUAUUUUUAUUAUUGUUAUUAUUUACUAAUAGCUUUAUAGCUGUGAACUUGCUUAAUUCUUACAACAGUUAGCCCUGAAAGCCAGGUGAUAACCCCAUGUAACAAAUGAGAAGACUGAGAAAUUAGCAUGUUCAAAGCUCUAAGCAUUAAAGGUGGGAUUAGAACUGAUUGACUGCAAAUGCCAUUUUCUUAUCAUCUCCUAGCCUUCCUGAAGUUAUUUUAAAAACUAUUCUUUGAGGUUCAUGAUACAUUUCCCUGCAUACUCCAAGAAGUUCUCUAGACUUGUGGUUUCCCUACUGAGUUUAGCACACAGUUAGAGCAAGUCCCUUGGGGUCAUUAAACUUAGAUUAUUCCUCUUCUGUGGUACUGUAACUCCAUGAAAUUGGGGUCUAGAGCAUCUUGAGAAGAGGUACUACAGUCAUCCCCAGACAGCAGUUGUAUCUCUUGUAGAAUUAAUGUUUAUGGUUUGACCUUGUACAGCUAGUAAAACCUCACUUGUUCAGAAUGCUCAGGGAUUAUUAAGCAUGAGAAAGUUAAAGAGUAAUGGAAUGUGAAACAUUUAACAAAAUCAGCUUAAUUAGCACUUCAGAGCAAGAAACAAUUUCUGCCUUUAAAA